CCUACGGGUGGCUGCAGUGGGGAAUAUUGGACAAUGGGCGAAAGCCUGAUCCAGCCAUGCCGCGUGUGUGAAGAAGGCCUUCGGGUUGUAAAGCACUUUCAGUGGGGAAGAAAGCCUUGGGGCUAAUACCCUCGAGGAAGGACAUCACCUACAGAAGAAGCACCGGCUAACUCCGUGCCAGCAGCCGCGGUAAUACGGAGGGUGCGAGCGUUAAUCGGAAUUACUGGGCGUAAAGCGCGCGUAGGCGGUCUGAUAAGCCGGUUGUGAAAGCCCCGGGCUCAACCUGGGAACGGCAUCCGGAACUGUCAGGCUAGAGUGCAGGAGAGGAAGGUAGAAUUCCCGGUGUAGCAGUGAAAUGCGUAGAGAUCGGGAGGAAUACCAGUGGCGAAGGCGGCCUUCUGGACUGACACUGACGCUGAGGUGCGAAAGCGUGGGUAGCAAACAGGAUUAGAUACCCGAGUAGUC
rnacentral:rRNA from 1 species